UACGUAGGUGGCAAGCGUUGUCCGGAAUCACUGGGCGUAAAGCGCGCGCAGGCGGCGAUCUACGUCUGGGGUGAAAGCCCGGAGCUCAACUCCGGGACUGCCUUGGAUACGGGAUCGCUUGAGGAUUGGAGAGGCAAGGGGAAUUCCACGUGUAGCGGUGAAAUGCGUAGAGAUGUGGAGGAACACCUGUGGCGAAGGCGCCUUGCUGGCCAAUUACUGACGCUGAGGCGCGAAAGCGUGGGGGGCAAACAGG
rnacentral:rRNA from 1 species